AGAUACCUGGCAGAGACAUUUGUUGUGAAGGAAACACAUUCAUUAACAAAUGUCAGUGGUGUUGUUCCAGUGAUGUCUUCCCAUUGGGCAGGGGUGGUUCCUCCUGAAAUGAACAAGGUCUGAGCUAUUUUAGUAACCUACAGCUAUUCACGAGGGAUUUCAACAAGCACAGUCUCCUGGCCAAGCAAUACAAUGUCCCAGUGGAAAACUCACAGCUGCAGAAAGCUAUCUACAGGGAGCCCUCUUCUAGCACGAGGAAGCACCACUACAAGCACUACCAACCAUCUACGUACAGAGAAUGAAGAGGAGAGGGCUCACGGAAGAGAAACACAAAUGACUGUGAAGAGUUCGGGGGGGGGAUGUUAAUACAAGGGAUUAAAGGGAAUCAGAAAGCUCUUACAGGUUAUCACUGGAAGAGAAGAAAGGAGGCAUCCUAAAAAAAUUAGGCUGAUAAAUGUUCCUUACGUGGUUCUGUGAUAAUUUAUUAUAAUAUUAAAAAUUAAAGAAAAUGUAAAAAAAAAAACCAAAAUAACUUACAGGAGCUCCAUGUAGAUAUAAUAGCUACAGUUUUCAGAAGGGGUUAAAAAUGGCGUAAUAGGGGAAGGAAAACCUUAGCAGGGACUAACUAUGGUUAAGAGAAAUGAGGUAAAACUGAGGAGAGGGAAAACAAUAUAAAUAGGAGAAAACUUUUGGACAGCUGAUAAGUAGGAAAACAUUCUUGUGAGCCAUUUAAAACAAAGGUGGCCAAAAUAAGUGAACUGAUUGAUCAAAC